rnacentral:rRNA from 1 species
GACGUAGGGCGCGAGCGUUGUCCGGAUUUAUUGGGCGUAAAGAGCUCGUAGGCGGCUUGUCGCGUCGACUGUGAAAACCCGUGGCUCAACCAUGUGGUCUGCAGUCGAUACGGGCAGGCUAGAAUUCGGUAGGGGAGACUGGAAUUCCUGGUGUAGCGGUGAAAUGCGCAGAUAUCAGGAGGAACACCGGUGGCGAAGGCGGGUCUCUGGGCCGAUAUUGACGCUGAGGCACGAAGGCCAGGGGAGCAAACGGG